rnacentral:lncRNA from 1 species
ACGCUAAUUUUGUAAAGAUAUUAGCUGCAUGCGCGGAGUACGGCCUUACGCUAAUUUGGUUAAUAGGAAAGCAAUAUCAUAAAGAAAAUUCUGUGUAUUAUUACAAGGGCUCAAGGGCGUUAAUACCCGAGCUUAUUCGAACAUGAGCUAUCAGGGCAUUAGAGCCCGAAAAGUAAAAACGAAAUGAAGCAAACAUAAAGUGGGCAUGCAAGCUUUAAAAGGGAAAAAUUAUAGCUACAACUAGUUACUUGUAAUAAAUUUUCAGAUCAUCGGCGUUCCAUGGCCUUGGGAGCGGGUUCCCCGAUGUGUCUCUGAGGCUAUAGACUCCAUCUUUAAGUUUUCUUAUGACCUCGAAGGGUCCUUCCCAUGUCGGUCCGAGCUUUCUUGGUUGGUGUCCUGUGGCUUCUGCUUUUCUAAGGACAAGAUCGCCAGUUCUGAACCUUCUUCUCUAGACCUUGCUAUUGAAGUGUUUUGCCGUUCUAUUUUGAUAACUUGCAGCUCUAAGUAAGGCUUGCUCCCUUACCUCUUCAAGCAAGUCAAGGUGCUCAGUAGUUUGUCUCUUCCAUUCAUCUCAAGCUUUCUUAUUGUGGAGAGGCUAACCUCGAUUGGGAUGGUAGCCUCAAGUCCAAAAGCAAGCAUGAAGGGCGUUUCACCAGUUGCUGUUUUGUGUGAAGUCCUGUAUGCUCAUAGUAUAGAAGACGGUUCAUCAGGCCAUCCUCUAUCCUUGUUCGAAGGUUCUGCGAUAUGACUCGAUUAGUUACUUCGGCGAGCCCAUUACUUUGUGGGUGUGAUACCGAGGUCAAGCGAUGAUCAAUCCCAUUGUUGGCAUAGAAGCUCCUAAACUGAGGAUUAUCAAAUUGCCUUCCGUUGUCUGUGAUGAGGACUUUCAAUAUCCCAACCUGCAUAUGACGGACUUCCAUAUGAAUGACCUGAGCUUCGGCUCCAAAAUUUUUGCUAGUGGUUCGGCUUCUACCCACUUUGUGAAAUACUCAACAACCACAGCCACAAAUUUUAAUUGACCUCGGGCUAAGGGGAAUGGCCCAAGAAUAUCAACUCCCCACUGUUCGAAAGGAGCUGAGUAGUGAAUGGAUGUUAGUUCCUCAGCAGGAGCAUGUAUGACGUGGCCAAACUUUUAGCACUUGUCACACUUCCGAACGUAACCUGUGGCAUCUUUCUUCAAACUUGGCCAGUAUUAUCCAUACCUUAUCAACUUAUAUGCAAGAGCUCGGGCUCCCUGGUGAUUUCCACAAAUGCCUUCAUGAACUUCAGCCAUGGCUUGAAGAGACUCAGAAGGUUUGAGACAUCUUAGAUAGGGGAGUGUGAAACUCCUGCGGGACAGGACCUCUUCGAUUAUACAAUAUCUAGCGGCUCUAUACCGAAUGCUUCUGGCAAGCCGAGGGUCUGCAGGUAGAUUGCCAUUACUUAUGUAAUCAAUUAUUGGAUCCAUCCAGGAGGGCUCGUGAUCAAUAUCCAUGACACUUGGCUUUUGAGCUAUGCUGGGUUCUGCAACCAUCUUGAUGUGGAUGGUUCUAUCAAGUCCAUCCACACCCGUGAAGAUGAGUCUGGAUAAUGCAUCAGCUUUGGCAUUAUCGGCUUUACCUAUCUUCAGAAUUUCACAACUUACGAAUUGCCUCUGGAGGUCAUGUACUUUCAAAUAGUAUAAGCUCA